rnacentral:rRNA from 1 species
UGGGGAAUCUUGCGCAAUGGCCUAACGGCUGACGCAGCGACGCCGCGUGAGGGAUGACGCUCUUCGGAGUGUAAACCUCUUUUGCCCGGGACGAAUUGCCAACAUCAGUUGGCUUGACGGUACCGGGUGAAUAAGCACCGGCUAACUCCGUGCCAGCAGCCGCGGUAAUACGGGGGGUGCGAGCGUUGUCCGGAAUCACUGGGCGUAAAGGGCGCGUAGGUGGUCUUAUAAGGGUGUGGUGAAAGCCCGGGGCUCAACCCCGGGUCGGCCGUGCCGACUGUAAGACUAGAGUGCUGUAGGGGCAGGCGGAAUUCCGGGUGUAGCGGUGGAAUGCGUAGAGAUCCGGAGGAAGACCGGUGGCGAAGGCGGCCUGCUGGGCAGUUACUGACACUGAGGCGCGACAGCGUGGGGAGCAAACAGGAUUAGAUACCCUGGUAGUCCACGCCGUAAACGAUGGGUACUAGGUGCCUGGGGGAGCGACCCCUUGGGUGCCGGCGCUAACGCAGGAAGUACCCCGCCUGGGGAGUACGGCCGCAAGGCUGA